UUAAGGUUCAAACUUCAAGCUGAAGGUCAGAAAAGCAAAGCAGCUGGCCACUAGCUUCUUACUUCUACCUCAGGCUCAAUGGGCUGAUCCUGCUGCCUCUCCUCAGUGUGGCUGGAGAAUCCUGAGACUGAAUGAAUGCCUUCCUACACUCAAUGUGGCUGGAGAAUGAAUACUUCAUACUGAGACCUUGCUCCUGUCUUAUAUACGUCCCUAAUGCUGGGAUGAAAGGCGUGUGAUUCCCAAAAGCAGGGUGAAGGACCUGCCCAGUCUCUCAGUAAAUGUCUGCGGUGUGGAGGCUGCUUGCUGGGUUGUUGGACAUAGCAGAGCUCAAAGGACUUGGGAGUUAAAGCAAGGUGGCAAACCAGCAUGUCAGCAGAUCUAAGUCAGACACAGCCGCCUAUGGGACUGGUCACCACAGCCCGGGGGGAACCUUGGGUCCCCAGAAACCACAGGAACCUUGACUUCAGCCUUGCCAAGUUCAUUCCCGGCCUGAAGAGGACUCCAGAUCUCAUCAUAGAUGGUUGUGAGCCACCAUGUGGUUUCUGGGAAUUGAACUCAGG
rnacentral:lncRNA from 1 species